AUUGAACGCUGGCGGCAUGCCUUACACAUGCAAGUCGAACGGUAACAGGUCUUCGGAUGCUGACGAGUGGCGAACGGGUGAGUAAUACAUCGGAACGUGCCUAGUAGUGGGGGAUAACUACUCGAAAGAGUGGCUAAUACCGCAUGAGAUCUACGGAUGAAAGCAGGGGAUCGCAAGACCUUGUGCUACUAGAGCGGCCGAUGGCAGAUUAGGUAGUUGGUGGGAUAAAAGCUUACCAAGCCGACGAUCUGUAGCUGGUCUGAGAGGACGAUCAGCCACACUGGGACUGAGACACGUCCCAGACUCCUACGGGAGGCAGCAGUGGGGAAUUUUGGACAAUGGGCGCAAGCCUGAUCCAGCAAUGCCGCGUGCAGGAUGAAGGCCUUCGGGUUGUAAACUGCUUUUGUACGGAACGAAAAGCCCUGGGUUAAUACCCUGGGGUCAUGACGGUACCGUAAGAAUAAGCACCGGCUAACUACGUGCAAGCAGCCGCAGUAA
rnacentral:rRNA from 1 species